GACGAACGCUGGCGGCGUGCCUAAUACAUGCAAGUAGAACGCUGAAGGAGGAGCUUGCUUCUCUGGAUGAGUUGCGAACGGGUGAGUAACGCGUAGGUAACCUGCCUGGUAGCGGGGGAUAACUAUUGGAAACGAUAGCUAAUACCGCAUAAGAGUAGAUGUUGCAUGACAUUUGCUUAAAAGGUGCAAUUGUAUCACUACCAGAUGGACCUGCGUUGUAUUAGCUAGUUGGUGGGGUAACGGCUUACCAAGGCGACGAUACAUAGCCGACCUGAGAGGGUGAUCGGCCACACUGGGACUGAGACACGGCCCAGACUCCUACGGGAGGCAGCAGUAGGGAAUCUUCGGCAAUAGACGGAAGUCUGACCGAGCAACGCCGCGUGAGUGAAGAAGGUUUUCGGAUCGUAAAGCUCUGUUGUAAGGGAAGAAAGAGUGUGAGAGUGGAAAGUUCACACUGUGACGGUAUCUUACCAGAAAGGGACGGCUAACUACGUG
rnacentral:rRNA from 1 species